rnacentral:rRNA from 1 species
GGGUCAGUAGGUUGGUCGUGCCACCGGUACGUACUGGUCUCACUGGUUCCUCCUUCCUGAAGAAUCGUAAUGCCAUUAAUUUGGUGUUGCGGGGAAACAGGACUGUUACUUUGAAAAAAUUAGAGUGUUUAAAGCAAGCUAACGCUUGAAUACAUUAGCAUGGAAUAAUGAAAUAGGACGAUCGAUCCUAUUUUGUUGGUUUCUAGGAUUGACGUA